rnacentral:tRNA from 1 species
GGAAAUAUAGUUUUAAUUAGGAUAAAAUAACACCCUGUCGCGGUGAUGAUGCGAGUUCAAGUCUCGUUAUUUCCG